CCUCGGGGCGAGGGGGUGACACGGUGGCUCAGCGGCGGCCGCGCUCCGCACCACGCCGGGCCUCCUGGCCGCUGCAGCCGGGCCAGCUGACGUCUCGCCUGCAGAUCCGAACCGGGGACCAGGAGGCAGGAGAGAGAGAGAGAGAGGAGACCGUGUGAAGUUGUCCAAACACCGCCGAGCGAACGAGAGAGAGCGAGCAAGAGAGAGAGAGACACGCGGGGAGGCCCGGGGGAGGGAAGCCGAGGGUUUGCCAGCGGACGCUCCACGUGUCUCCGAAAAGCCUUCCGGAAAGGCCGCCCAGCCAGGCCUCACGAAAACUGGAUUGAAGUUCAGGAACUGGAAGGUCAUUCAGGAUACAGCUCUGGGACUGGGUUAUCUUGCUGCCCCCUCAGCAGUAGGCAUCUGCCUGUUCCUACUCACAGGCUUAGCCACCAAGUGACUUGUUGCUCAGAAGGAGCCAUGUUCAGGUUGGGCUCUUGAAGUUUUCAUCAUCCUGAUUCCAUCACAGGACUCCGAUAAUUAAGAUGCAGCUCCCUGCCCAUUGCAAGUGCCUUAACCACUAAGCCACCUCUCCAGCCUCCAUCUCUUUGAGGAGGAAGAUUGGAAGCCUUGCUACUUUCCCAUUUCAUCGGAUUCAUCCUCUUCAUCAGGACUUCUUGCGGAUCUCCUUGUAAGCGAAAGAUGUUGAAACAAGGAUCCUACAGUUCCUGGAAAGAGAAAACACAAGCAUAAAACAAGAAACUAUUCAGGGGAUCACAAGGCUAUAGAACCCAAAAGGCCUUG